rnacentral:rRNA from 1 species
GACGAACGCUGGCGGCGUGCUUAACACAUGCAAGUCGAACGGAAAGGCCUGCUUUCCCUUGUGGAUUGCGGGUACUCGAGUGGCGAACGGGUGAGUAACACGUGAGUGAUCUGUCCCCAACUUGGGUAUAAGCCUGGGAAACUGGGUCUAAUUCCCGAUAGGACUGCAGGGUGGUGCCUGUGGUGGAACACGAUUUUCUAGUGGUUGGGGAUGAGCUCGCGGCCUAUCAGCUUGUUGGUGGGGUAAUGGCCUACCAAGGCGGCGACGGGUAGCCGGCCUGAGAGGGUGGACGGCCACAUUGGGACUGAGAUACGGCCCAGACUCCUACGGGAGGCAGCAGUGGGGAAUAUUGCACAAUGGGCGGAAGCCUGAUGCAGCGACGCCGCGUGGGGGAUGACGGCCUUCGGGUUGUAAACUCCUUUCGACCGCGAGGAAGCCACCUGGUUGGAAGGGUGGUGACGGUAGUGGUAGAAGAAGCACCGGCUAACUACGUG